rnacentral:rRNA from 1 species
GUUAGGAAUAUUGGACAAUGGGCGCAAGCCUGAUCCAGCCAUGCCGCGUGAACGAUGAAGGCCUUCGGGUUGUAAAGUUCUUUAGCCGAUGAUUAUAAUGACUGUAGUCGGAAAAUAAGCCCCGGCUAACUUCGUGCCAGCAGCCGCGGUAAUACGAAGGGGGCGAGCGUUAUUCGGAAUCACUGGGCGUAAAGCGUGCGUAGGCGGCUUUGCAAGUUGGGAGUGAAAGCCCAGGGCUCAACCCUGGAAUUGCUCUCAAAACUGCAAGGCUCGAAUUCGGGAGAGGAUAGCGGAAUUGUCAGUGUAGCAGUGAAAUGCGUAGAUAUUGACAGGAACACCGGUGGCGUAAGCGGCUAUCUGGACCGAUAUUGACGCUGAGGCACGAAAGCGUGGGGAUCAAACAGGAUUAGAAACCCUAGUAGUCC